AGCAGCCGCGGUAAUUCCAGCUCCAAUAGCGUAUAUUAAAGUUGUUGCAGUUAAAAAGCUCGUAGUUGAAUUUCGGGAUCAAUCUAUCGGUCGUGCAAUAGUACGUACUGAUUUUAUUGAUUCCUACCUUCUGAUGAACUAUGAUGUCAUUAAUUUGGUGUCAUAGGGAAUCAGGACUGUUACUUUGAAAAAAUUAGAGUGUUUAAAGCAGGCUCACGCUUGAAUACAUUAGCAUGGAAUAACGGAAUAGGACGUUUGAUUCUAUUUUGUUGGUUUCUAGGAUCGACGUAAUGAUUAAUAGGGAUAGUUGGGGGCAUUAGUAUUCAAUUGUCAGAGGUGAAAUUCUUGGAUUUAUUGAAGACUAACUACUGCGAAAGCAUUUGCCAAGGAUGUUUUCAUUAAUCAAGAACGAAAGUUAGGGGAUCGAAGACGAUCAGAUACCGUCGUAGUCUUAACCAUAAACUAUGCCGACUAGGGAUCGGAUGAUGUUAAUUUUUAAUGACUCAUUC
rnacentral:sRNA from 1 species